GGCUGGUUGUCUUGGAAAUCUUUAUCUAACCUCAACUGGAAAUCAUGUUCUAAUCAUGUUAUAAUUUUCAUCUUCUGAUACAAAAUUCCAAAAUUAUACCCUUUUAUAGGAUAGGCAAUGUAUGAUCACGUGUGUUCAGUGGGAUAUAGAUUCUCGAGAAUUAGUUAGAUGGCCACGAGGGCCGACCAUUGACGAAGAGUUAUUUCUUUCUUUAUAUUUUUGGAAGUAUUUUUUAUUGUGUUUUUAUCGAUUAAUACUCGCAGUGAGUUAAUUGAACUGAUAAAUAUGCUCUAUAUCCGACCAGUAUGCUCUAUAUAGAGCAUCAUUACUAACAAGGCUUUGUUUUGCUUUGUUUAUCUUCUGUUGAAUGUUUCAUUAGUAUGUUCGAUGACCAUACUGUAUAGAACGUACUAAUGAGUUAUACUGCGGUGUUUGCUAUGAAGCUCGCUGUGAGACAGUAUAUAGGAUAUAGACCGCUGAAAUACCGAGUUUUGAUUGGCUGAGUGGGUGUGAUCUUGUUCUAAUCAAGUACUCAAAGCGGAAACAUUUAAUGAGUUUAGAUGCUUUGAAGUAAUACUGGUAAGUUCUAAUUCAGACCUCCAAGUACAUACGUGAAAACGCACAAAUAGACCUUACCGAUUAUUCUCUUUUACCCAAUGGCCUCGUUUGCAUGUUAACUUAUUUUAGCAUGUCAGGGGCAGAUAAAGAUUAUAUUCCCAUGUUUUCCUGGACGAAUUUGUUUCUUGCUGUUCUUAGGCUCAAUAACAAAGUAAUUUUCAACCCUACUAAGCACAAAACAUGAGUAAGUAUUUGACACGAAAACGAGGCCAUUGAGUGAAAAGUCAAUAAACGGUAUAAGGUCUAUUGCAACAAAACUGCAGAAGACUUGUAGCAAUGCUGUUCCAGUAACUUGUCAACACGAUGUCUCCGCACUGCUUGUUCCCAGCUUGUUGACAACUUGCUACAAGGUUGUUGAGCUCAACAGACUUGGUGCAGGUUGUUCCAACAACUUGUUAUUGUCUUGCUAUUCACCAAUUUGUCAACAAGCUGUGAGUGACAACCUUGUAGCAACAUGAUAAAAUUAAAACAUUGCUACAACUUGUUGACAAGCUUGCUGUACAAGCCUGUUG